GACAGAAAACUGGCUGAAGAGGAGUGACAACAUAAUGGGACCUAGAAGUUGACCCAGGACUGUAGAACAUUAUCCUAUUUAACUGUCAUAAUCAUGAUGUGAAGGAGGCAUUGUUUUCACCCCAUUUAAAGAUCCAAAUAUGGAGACUUGGGAUCAUGAGGUCACUAAGGGUUGGAGUAGCCUUUGACUCAGUUUGAGUUCUUAGCCUCUCUUCUUUUACUGCCUCGCACUCCACCCCACCCUCUAAUUCGACAGCUCCCUGGAGCAAGGAUUAGCCGCAUAGGAUCACCUAGAGGAAGAAAGAAAACAAAUGAAGGGAAAUUUCUCUGUGGAAUGUGGGACAAGAAAUAGGCGAGGGAUCAGCACUUUAUUCCAGAAGGAAUCACAGCCGAAAAAACUGUUGCACAGGAGACAUGAGGCUCAUUCUUCUUCUGUAAAGGAGCAAAGAGGGAAGUACAUACUUGGAGAUGAAGAGGAGGGUCUUGCCACCCUGGAGUGAACUCUGGUUGAACCAUGGAUGGGGAAGCCUUGCACCUUGCUUGGGUGGCCAAGAGGACUCUAGAAGGCUUACCGGCAGCAACCCGGAGGCCUAUGGGAGGCAGGGCUGUCAGGAGCAGAAACAGCACCGUGGCGGAGCGUGGACUUUGGAGCCCGGAUGCCAGAAUGCAAGUCUUGGCUCAGUCACUUAGGACUCUGACCUAAGACAAUUUCCCUGGCCUCUCUAGGCUUCUUUGCUUGUUAAUGAGAGAGAUAAAACUACAUCACGGGCGUGGGGGUUGGGAUUGAAUGAGUGUAUCUAUAAAUGAGUUCGAAUGUAAAGUGCUUACAGAAGCGCAUGGCAGGAGUGAGCGGGCAUUAAAUUGUCUUUUAUUGUCUUGAGGCUGCAUGGCAAGUGCAUUGCUAAUGUGAUUUUAUGUCUAGAGAGGUCAAAGGUCCUCUCAAGCUGCUACGUGGUUUUC